rnacentral:rRNA from 1 species
GGAAUUUUGCUCAAUGGGCGCAAGCCUGAAGCAGCAACGCCGCGUGAGGGAUGAAGGCCUUCGGGUUGUAAACCUCUUUUCUCAGGGACGAUGAUGACGGUACCUGAGGAAUAAGCCACGGCUAACUACGUUCCAGCAGCCGCGGUAAUACGUAGGUGGCAAGCGUUGUCCGGAUUUACUGGGCGUAAAGAGCGCGCAGGCGGUCGGAUCAGUCGAAUGUGAAAGCCCCCGGCUCAACUGGGGAGGGUCAUUCGAUACUGUUCGACUUGAAGGCAGGAGAGGGAAGCGGAAUUCCCGGUGUAGUGGUGAAAUGCGUAGAUAUCGGGAGGAACACCAGUGGCGAAGGCGGCUUUCUGGCCUGUUCUUGACGCUGAGGCGCGAAAGCUAGGGGAGCGAAC